rnacentral:misc_RNA from 1 species
GAACGCACAUUGCGCCCCUUGGUAUUCCAUGGGGCAUGCCUGUUCGAGCGUCAUUUGUACCCUCAAGCUAUGCUUGGUGUUGGGUGUUUGUCCUCUCCCUUGCGUUUGGACUCGCCUUAAAGAAAUUGGCAGCCAGUGUAUUGGUAUAGAAGCGCAGCACAAUUUGCGAUUCUAGCUAAUAAUUACUUGCAACCAUCAAGUCUAUUUAACACUUUUGACCUCGGAUCAGGUAGGGAUACCCGCUGAACUUAAG